AGCCGCGAUCGGCAGCCACACUUCAAAGGCAUCGCGGCGCCCGUCCAAUCGCAGCUCUCGCUGGGACCUUGGGGCGGGGUCAGGCGGCGGGCGGAGGCCGGCGCCGGGGCUGGCAGGGGAGAGCCUUAAAGGGGCCGCCUCCACCUCCCCGCCGGACUCCUCUCCUCCCCCAUCUCUGGCCUCCCCCCCCACCCGCGGGGGUUCCCCGGCACGACGGGACCCUGGACUCUGCGCCCUGUUUUCUGUAGAUCUUCGGGGCGCGGGCGCUUUCUCUCUCUCUGCUCUUCUCACACCAUCUGGGGUUGCUGGGAAUGGGGUGCAAGCCGGGGGCAGCCACCCUCCAGCUGUGUGCAUUACGGGUGGGGGUGGAGGAGGCAUUGGGGGCACUGGGUGCAAGCUCCGGGGCCGCCGAGGACAACCCUCCUGUAGAGGCCGCCUGGGGGCGAGCCGAACCUGCAUCCAGAGCCGGACUCAGCACCGGCUCUGCCCUGCUCCCGUUCCCCCCUCCCACUUCCCCACCCUAAAAGGCUUCUUCUCCCGGGUGUGCACAUUUGAAAGUGUCCGAGCUUGGGAGACGUGCACGAUUCUCGGGACGCAGCGGCAGGCGCUCUGACUACUCUGAACCUGUCCGGUGCGAAGUCUGCAAAUUUGAGGACUGACUCCCUUCCGGGCGUAGCUUGUGCAUUACCAGCUGCGUACUUGGCAGGGAUUUUACAGAGUCAUAGCCCUGCCAUUAGAGUUCCCCGGUCCGCCAAUCGUCGGGUGGUGAAGGUGGUUCUUUUGUGCGCCGGCCUCUGGGGAUAUCGCUGCUCUGCACCCUCGCCGCCAGUGGAGGCGCGCUGGUGUCACUUCUUUGCUGCCUUCAGGUUUCUGGAGAUUGCUCUUUCAAGUUGCAAAUGCUGCUGGGAGGAACCAUACCUUAGCAAUCAAUGACACCUCUACUGUGAUUAGCUUGAAAGGAGGGUUCCACAUAGGGUAAGAAUAACAUUUAUUGAAUACUGUGUUCCAGAUAUACUUCUGAGCAACUUGCAUGGAAUAACUCAUUUUACUACUCACAGUAAACUCUAUGACUGUGCCUUCCUCAGACCCAGAGGACUUAGUAACUGUGCUGGAGAGAUAGUUUAAUGCUUCUGCAAAAGAGUUUCAUGCUUCUGCCCCUGCGGCUACAGACAGACUAUGACCCACAUAGUCAACGACUGCCACCUCUCCAGAUUCAAAGGAGGUCUCGAAACUUUACAUCAGGCUCAACCUGAUGCUGUUGACUGGCUACGGAAGAAGGGCAAAUGCUAGAAGAAGAAGAAGUUUCAUGCUUGAAGCUUUGAGGUCCCAGGUUCCGUCUUCAACACUACUAUAAACCAUAGUUGUGUGUGUGUGUGUGUCUGUCUCUCAUUAAAAUAAAAUAUUAAACAAAAGAAUGUAAAUAAGUCUGGGAAGUGGUACAGUAAAUAGAGCAUUGGAUUCUCAAGCAUGAGGUCCUGAGUUUGUUCUCUGACAUGGCAUGUGCCAGGGUUGAUGCUCUGCGUUCUCUCUACCCCUCUCUUCCUCAUUAGAAAAAAAAAAAGGUAAAAAUGGGGGCUCCAAUUAAAGAGGUCUGUUCCUGAGCCAACCAGGCCACUUGGAGGAAGAAGGAAGCCCUAACAGCAUGAGUAGCCAGAAAAACUGAAAACAAGUGAAUUUAAUGAUUUGCCAGAGGGUUGUUCUCAAACAGGAUUUUCCUUUCAUCCCAAGAGAUGUUUUUACAGCCUUGAACUUCCUGUAAUGAAUGAAGUGCAGCCAUUAUGUGUUGAUGCUGGGAAUCUUCAUCCAAGGAAGAGGACACAAACUGGAGAAAGAAGAGCUAAAUCUGGCCUAAAAAUAUCCAGGAUGUUGAAAAAAUAUAUAUCUUUUAUUUUAUUUAAUUAAUUAAUUAAGCAAAAUACUAACCCUUACACUAUGGUAUAUCAGCUCUGGUUUAUGGUGGUAAUAAGGGUUGAACCUGGGAUCUCAGAGCUUAAGGUAUGAGUGUUGUUUUGCAUAACUAUUAUGCUAUCUUCCCACCCAAGAAAUAAAUGAUACAUUCUAAUAAAUCUAUCAUGAGUCAAAAAUGUUGUAAGUCAGAAAUGUAUUUAAUGUAACUAGGCCACUGAACGUUAGCGCUUAGCCUAACCUACCUUAACCAUACUCAGAACAUUUCUAUUAGGCAAAGCUGGUUAAGAUAGAACCUAUUCUAACAUAAAGCCUUCCUUAUAAUAAGAUGUUGAGUAUCUCAUGUAAUUUAUGGAAUGCUACACUGAAAGUGAGAGCCAGCAUCAGUUGUUUAUCUCAUGACUGCUCUCCUUAAGCUUUCACAAGUAUCACAAGAAAGGAUGAGACCGCAUACUGCUUGCCCUGGAAAAGCUCAAGAUCCAAAAUUAAAAAGAAUUCUACUGUAGGUGAGAAAUUGGAAGUCGUGAUGAGUCCAGGGAGCCAUCUGUCAAACUUUCUGGUAAGUGGACUCUAAUAAGUACUCCAAAUUAUCUAGAUCUCUUUUUUCUUUCAUGCUACCAUGAUGCCUUGGCAGACGACCCCACCAAUGUACCCUGGAACCCCACCUCUCCAGAGCCCUGGUCCACUUAGGGAAAGACGGAAACAGGCUGGGAGUAUGGAUUGACCUGUCAAUGCCCAUGUUCAGCGAGGAAGCAAGUACAGAAGCCAGACCUUCUACCUUCUGCACCCCAUAAUGAUCCUGGGUUCAUUCUCCCAGAGGGAUAAAGAAUAGGAAAGCUUCCAAUAGAAGAGAUGGAAUAUGGAGCUCUGGUGGUGGGAAUUGUGUGGAAUUGUACCCCUCUUAUCCUAUGGUCUUGUUGAUCAUUAUUAAAUCAGUUACAAAAUAUCUUUCUGUCAAAGACAAUGCCUAAAAUGGCUUUGGGGGUGACCCUCAGUAUCUUCAGUCCUAACCAUAAAUUUUUUGGCUGAAGCCUGUGAAACUUUGAAGACAUCAAAUCAGGAAGUCAGUAAUUAUUAUUAGUAAAGUGCUCACCAAGGCAGGAAAAGGUGACCCUAAGUUUACUCAUAUAUAAGUAUGUUCUGCAAAGUUUAAAGGUGCAAAAGGGCUGGCAUAUAUGAUCUUUAAAAAAAUUGAGAUGGUAAGAGUUCUACUCUAGCAGCCAUUUGGUAAGAAAAAAAAAGUACAGAAGGCUUACAUCCCCAUCCCCCAUUCAUUUUGGUACAUGCAGCUUCUCCUUGCAAAGAUUCACGACAUAGAGCCUAAAAGACAGCAUAGUGGUUAUGUAAGAAAGAGACUUUCAUGCAUGAGGCUCCAAUGUCCCAAGUUCAACCCUCAGAACCACCAUAAACCAGAGCUGAGAAGAGAUUUGCUACAUGAACACUAUUGAUUUCUCACCUGUAGUUAUAGGCCUUAGCCUCCUUGACAUACUGAAUCAGAAUUCUAUUCUUAGUACUAUGUGUACUUAACUAGGUGUGCCACCACCCGGCCCCCCAGAUUCAAUUCAAUUUUGUUUAUUUAUUUAUAACAGAGAGAAAUUGAGAAGGGGAGUGGGUGGUAGAGAAAGGGAGAGAGAGAGAGAGAGAGAGACACCUGCAGACCUAUUUCAUCACUUGUGAAGUGUACCUACUGUAGGUGGGGAGUUGGGGGCUCAAACCGGAUCCUUUCACUUUAUACUAUGUGCACUUAAUCUGGUGCACUAUCUCCUGGCUCCCCUGAAUUCAAUUUUUUUUUUUGCCCCCAGGGUUAUUGCCGGGGCUCAGUGCACGAAUCCACUGCUCCUGGAGACCAUUUUUUCCCCUUUUGUUGCCCUUGCUGUUCCAUCAUUGUUGUGGUUAUUAUUAUUAUUGUUGUUGAUGUCAUUAGUUGUUGGAUAGGACAGAGAGAAAUCGGGAGAGGAGGGGAAGACAGAGGGGGAGAGAAAGACAGACACCUACAGACCUGCUCCACCGCCUGUGAAGCGACUCCCUGGAGGUGGGGAUCCGGGGGCUUGAACCAAGAUCCUUCUGCCGGUCCUUGCGAUUGGGCCCAUGUGCGCUUAACCCGCAGCACUACUGCCCGACUCCCCAGAACUUAAUUCUU